AACUCUCGAAACCGGAGAGAGAGAGAAAAAAAAAGAAAAUCCAAAAAACAAAAGAAAAAGGAAGGAUGAAGGUUUUGAGGUGUAUGCGUGUGAGGGUGGUAUAUAUCUACAUGUAUGUAUGUGACAUGUGUUCAGAAGUCAGAAGCACUGGACCCCCUGGCACUGGAAUUACUGGCUGUUCUGAGGCACUUGACAUGAAUGCUGGGAACCUAUCUUGAGUCCUCCGGUAGAGCAGCAAGUGGUCUUAAUUGCUGAGCCAUCUCUCCAGCCACAAAGGUGAAAGUUUUUUGAGAUCAGUUCUCCAACUGUAUUUCCCAGACAAAUCAAAAGAAUCAGUAAAACCAGGUGCUUCCUCUACAUGUAUGUCUAUGCGUCUUGUAUGUGCCUUGUGCCCCCUGAGGCCAGAAGAGGACAUUGGAUUCCCUGAGAGUGGUAAUGUAGACAGAUCCAUGCAUUGAGUUGUCUUUUGAAAAUGUGUAACAUCAUUUGGAGUCAUCUAAAACCUACUAAAGUGCCAGUAUCUCAACGUCAAAUUCUGUGACAGGAGAGGUUUGCUGGGUCCAUUUUACUGAUAAAGAACCAGAGGCAAGAAAAAUAUCUCACAAGGAAUUAAAAAAUGAUAGGGUAAAUCUAAGGAAAUUAUAUGGAAAUAUUUCCCAGGCUAGAAGAAAAUAAUUUCAUACAGAAGAGAAAAUGCAUCUAAUAAA